AUUGAACGCUGGCGGCAGGCCUAACACAUGCAAGUCGAACGAGUGGCGGACGGGUGAGUAAUGUCUGGGACACUGCCUGAUGGAGGGGGAUAACUACUGGAAACGGUAGCUAAUACCGCAUACCAUCAGAUGUGCCUAGAUGGGCUUGGCUGGUUGGUGGGGUAACGGCUCACCAAGGCGACGAUCCCUAGCUGGUCUGAGAGGAUGACCGGCCACACUGGAACUGAGACACGGCCCAGACUCCUACGGGAGGCAGAAGUGGGGAAUAUUGGACAAUGGGCGCAAGCCUGAUGCAGCCAUGCCGGGGGGAUGAAGAAGGCCUUCGGGUUGUAAAGUACUUUCAGCGGGGAGGCGGUACCCGCAGAAGAAGCACCGGCUAACUCCGUGCCAGCAGCCGCGGUAAUAC
rnacentral:rRNA from 1 species